rnacentral:rRNA from 1 species
AUGUAAUGUAAUCCCUACAAUGUUAAUGCAUUGGAUCCCAUUAGAACUCCGCAGGUAAGCAUGCUUGGGCUAGAGUAGUACUAUGAUGGGUGACCUCUCGGGAAGUCCUAGUGUUUUACAUG